GUGAUGUUAGCUCAACUGGUUAGAGCAUCAGGUUGUGGACCUGAAGGUUGCCGGUUCAAGUCCGGUACAUCACCCA
rnacentral:tRNA from 6 species